CCUAGCAUCCCAGCCUUCUCCUCCCGUUCCCUCGCGUCCCCAUCCCCGCCGCCGGCGACCUCACGCCUCCAGCCGCGCCCUCCCCAAUCUCUCUCCCUCACGUGCGUGUCAGCCGACGACGCUCCAUCUCCUUCCCCACUCUUCCUUGCCAGUAGCAGGAAGAUGACGCGGGCGCAGUACCCUGCGUCUCUCUCCUCCAGUUCUCUUCCUCCCCUGCCUCCAUCGAGCCGCCGCCGCUUGGUCUUCUCGUGGAGAUCGCCGAGGUCAUGGCCAACCGCCGCCUCGCCACUCGACAAGCAGCACACCAUGGUAUGGAACGACAGAGGAGCAGGUGUGUGCGCCGCCGGGCUGGAAGGAGACGCCGCCGCGCCGUCAUCGUCCCCCGGCGACCGGGGCGUAAAUCGGCACGCAGAGGCACAAGGACAGAGGAGGAGGCACACGUCCUCGUCCCCGGGUGACCGGCCCGCUGGGAUCCGUUCGUGACGUCGCUGUCGUCCUCAACCUUGGCGUGCUGAGCCCCAAUGUCUCCAUCCAUAGCUCCUCUCCAUCAAGCACGCGCAGGAAGACCUCGUGACACCAUCCUAGGGCCCCUCUCUGAAGGAAUUCGUGCCCCAGGCCCAUGUGCAUCUGUAGGGAAGAAUGGAGAUUAAGGACACUAGCACAUACUAGGAACGUGCCCUCAAAGGCAUGCUUUGUUUCUUGCUUAGUUCCAGAUUGCUCCACCAUUCUCUAUCUCUACUUCAUAUUUGUCUUAGAAGUUUGUUAACAUUAAGUUCAUUGUUAAUUAAAUAACAUCCUUCAAUUAAUACAUAUGAUUUACCCCAAAUAUUUUAGUUGUAUUUUAUUUAAUUGUUCAGCUAUAUUGCGCUUGAUUGAUACAUAUCGUUGCUUAUUGCUCUUCUAGAUCCAUUUAUGUGAUAUAGGAUUGGGCAUCUUGGAGGACAAUUAUAAGCGUCGACGAGGCAGCAUGGUCAAGUGAGAGCAUGAUGAUAUAGCGGAAUGCAUGGAUGGAUAAAGGAGGCUGGCAGAGAUGUGAAACUCAUGCUUCUUGAGUGUUUUGCUUAAAUCAAUUGGAUCUACCGUGCAGAAACUUAUGUCUGCAGCUGAUUAAAUGAUAGGAAGCAGGCCAGAGCACUACCGGACGGCAGGGGGGUUGAAGUGUGGACGACGGUGGAGCACUUGCGGGUCAGCUGUGGCUGGUAGGGGCAAGGAACUGCAGUUCACGCAAACUGCUGGCUAGAUCAUGGUUGAAGUGAAGGUAAUCAAUUCAAUUUUCUGGACUGCUCAAAUUUGCACCAGUAGUGUGUGCUGCUCCUUUCCCACUCUAUGUUGUCCUGGUGCUCUGUUUAUAUUGCCUCAAAAGCAACUUAGAGUUUCUAAGAAAUGCACAUUUUGCAUCUAACUUAAUUUAAUGUAAAGAUGCAAAUGCAGGUUUAUGGAAGCAUCUGAUAGUUUUGCUCGCAGCUCUAAAAAUAUACCUCAUUUAGUCAUUUCUCUCAUUUGUAAGGUAACGAUUUAAAGUUCAGAUGUCUCAUGCUUGGUAUUUUAUGUGCAUAAUAAAAGUUUGAGAUCUGAAGGGCAUUGAAAGUGUAGGUUUGCGCAAAUCGUUGGCAAGGUCAUGGUCGAAGCGAAGGUAAUCAAUUUAAUAUUACUCGCCGCUCAACUUUACACCAGUCUUGUGUGCUGCUCCUUUCCCCAUCUCUAUUGUCCUUCUGCUCUAUUUGUAUUGCCUCAAAAGAAACUCUGAGUUUAUAAGAAAUUCUCAUUUUGCACCUGACUUAAUUUAGUGUAAAGAUGGCAAUGCAGAUUUAUGGAAGCAUUUGAUGGUUUUGCUCGCAGCUCUGUAAAUAUACCUCAUUUAGUCAUUUAUCUCAUUUAUAAAGUAAUGAUUUAAAGUUCAGAUGUCUCAUGCUUGGGAUUUUCUAUGUAUAUUGUAAGUUUGAGAUCAAAAGGGCAUUGAAAGUGUAUGCUUUUGUAUUUGGGUUCAGUUGAGAUAUUUAAACAAUGAUGUUACUUUUAUAUAAAUUUGAUGCUUACUGUAUAUUUGAGAGAAUGCUCUGCUGGGAUCAGUAGCAGGAAGAAGCAAUCCUCAGAUCCCCAUAAAAUGAUAAUGGCAAGAAAUUUUUCGUUCACUACGAUAUUCAUGAGAUACUAUUACAAGAUAAAGCUGAAUGUGAAAAUCGUUUAAAUAGGUAGUUUCCAAGAUCAAAACCAACAAGGAAAGUCACUUCUUCAACCUUACAAUCUUGAGCUCAGAUAUUCUGCCUAUUGACUCAGUUAUCUAUGUGCUUUUUUGUAGCUUUGAAAUUUUAUUUAUAGCCUGAAGGUGUUACUGCAAAAGUGUGGCUUGAGUACCAAAGUGCAUUCUUCGGAGAGAAGUUGCAGAAGCAUAUCUACUGCAGGGUUUUUCUUGAAGAUGCCAUGAUUCUUCAAUGUGGGCACUCAUUGGGUGAUCUCGUGCUGAACAAAGUCACUGAAAUGAAAGAUAAUGUUCCUCAUUCAUGGUAUGUUCAUGUGCAUAAUUACUUACGAGAUUGGCGCGGGAGAUGACAGAUUUCUUCAUGAGUUAUAGAGUUGUUCCCGGCUGACAUAAAUAGGUGAGUUGCGCUUCCUAUGCAGGAUCUAACUUGGUGUUGAUGCUUUCCUCUGUUAUACACAUACAGACGAUUGAAUAGAUAGAUAGUUUAGCACAGUGAAGUGGUUAACAAGCAAGUCACAUAGCCUGUCAUAGGAGCUUCAGGAGCUUCUGUUAUUAAUUCUUGGUUUAAAAUUCCAAUCAGAUAUAUCAAACUUGAACCUACACAGGGUAGUCCUAAGGUAACCUUCUGCUUAUAUUUGACUCAAAAUAUAUAAAAAGUGUGAAAUCUGAGAUGUGCGCAGGUUAGUGAAAAUUUGGGAAGUCAAAAACUGCUAUGUCUUGGGUUACUGUCAUUAAAUGUUUUCCCAUGUGAAAUAGAGGCCUUUGACAGACUGUUGGCAAGUAAGAUAAACAUCACUUCAUUUUAUUCAAUAGAUAGUUUAGCACAGUGCUAGCAUGUGUGAAGUGGUUAAUGAGGAAGUCACAUAGCCUGUCACAGGAGCUAUAGGAGGUGAUGUUAUUAAUCCUUUGGUUUAAAAUUCCAAUCAGAUAUAUCGAACUUGAACCUACGCAGGGUAGUCCUAUGGUAAUCUUGUGCUUAUAUUUGACCCUGAACAUAUAAAAAGUGUGAAAUCUCAGAUGUUCGUAGGUUAGUGAAAAUUUGGAAAGUCAACAACUGCCAUGUCUUAGAUUAUUGUCCUUAAAUGUUUUCCCAUAUGAAGACACCGACCUAAGUGAACAUGGUUCGAUAAGUGAGAUGCCUCGUGUUUGGUCAUCAAAUUUUCUUAGUAAGCUUGUGUAGUAACUGACUUACUAUGGUUGUUCACUGUUAUAUUUAGAGCUUAGAGGAUCACAGUAAAUUUGUAUCCUACCUUCUGAGUGGGGUCAUGUGUGGUGACGCACAUUAGUUCACGACUAAACUAUAAGGAUCUUCUAUUUUUCCCUGUGUCAAGUAAAGACAGUCACUCUACGAUGUAUGAACACAACAUUUAUUAUAGACUAGACUUCUAUGUACAAGAAUAGAGAAACAAUAUAGACUAUACUUCUAUGUACAAUAAUAGAGAAAAAAUAUUGUCAACGGUUAAUUUCCAAAUUUGAUUUAUUAUUCUUUCAUCUGCUUAGAUACAGUAGAAUAAUAUGAUGGAUGUUAUGCUAAAAAUGUGCAUUUUCUGCCCUGAAUAUGAAAGGCGUGCACUCGGAGGAUAUCUUUUUACCAAACUGAUGUUUUAACCUUCUGUAGUUCCUGUAGUGUUUACUGUUGGAGCAGUUCCAUGUGUACUAUGAUUCAGAUCAAGAUGACUCAGUCAAUUGGAACUGUGAGGUUGUUGACUAUAACUCUGAUGGACAUCCUAUAGAUUACUAAUUGUUCUUACCCACAUUGGUACCGUUACCUCUGCUGCUCCAUUCAGGGUAGUGAUAUCGGCAAACAUCGUGAUGUUUUUGUCAGGUACUUCAUUUUAGACUAUAUAUGUGAUGAAUAAAGAACAACUCUGUUGUGAAAAUGAAUGGUACCCCUCUAUGCUUUUAGCUACUGUUAUCUCCGAACUAUCCAUUUGUGCCUGUUGUAAUGUAUUUUCAUAUUUUUGCUGCUUGCAUUUAUCACAUUUUGUCACUUUCGACACAUCAUGUACCAAUCCUACUAUCUGAUAGGUUAGACUGAUAUGUGUGUAAUUUCGUGUUUGCUCUUUGUUCUCUCAGCUUACUACAUAGUGUUUUACAAAACGUUCUACCAGUGCAAAAGACGGGGGCCAUGCUCCAAGAUGUGCUCCUAUAUCAAACAAAUUAAAAAGAUGAAGGCUGGUGUCAUACUUGGACCAUCUCGUGGUGGUUUCUUCUCAAAGGAGGUACGGUAUCUUACAGUAAUUGCAUGGUAGUUUCUGUUCGGCAUGUGACCGUUUUCUGUGAACCAUUGCUUACCAUGCUCUUUACUUUUAGCAUUUAAUUUUGCUGAUCUAUGUUAUUCCAUCAUAUGAUUUACCUAGAUGUCAUUUCUGCCACUAUUGGUGUCUCCAAGCUUUCCUUGGUUCAGCUAUCAACACAAUGAGAUCCCUCUUUGAUGUGGACCCUCAUAAUGAAAGACAUGAAUUAAGUACCCUAAUAGAGAGCUUUGGAGCAUUUCAUAUUGAGUGUUUACAAUUUUCAUCACUUCUAUUGAUUCUCCAUUCACAUUCCAGGGACAGAAAAAUUCUGACAGUUCAAGAUGUGUUGAAAAUAUUUGAUAACGAAUUAGCUAAUAAUGUUUUUUAUGCAUCCUUCCAGACUGGAAGAGGUUUGUAAGGUGAAUCAAGCAGUAUAUUUGAAUGAUCUAAGGCCCCUAGCUGCAUGUUCAAAUGUUGGUGCCAUAAGUUUUGAAGAUUUUAUGUAGUUGGACAAACAUUAGUUAGUGAUAUAGAGCAAUAAAAUGUAAUGUCAUAGAUAUUUCUUCUAGCCCUUGUUCCUAUUUUUCUUCAUUAUAUAUUUGCGCACCUUAGAGCUAUGGACUAUGGUAUCGGGAAGAGGGGCAGCAUUGUUACCCAAGGUCCGAGGUUGUAUCCAGAGGACAAGUAGCCUGUGUUGUGUUUUCUAUUGUAUUUUCUUGAAAAUUUUAGGUUUUA